rnacentral:rRNA from 1 species
GAUGAACGCUGGCGGCGUGCCUAAUACAUGCAAGUCGAGCGAACAGACGAGGAGCUUGCUCCUCUGACGUUAGCGGCGGACGGGUGAGUAACACGUGGAUAACCUACCUAUAAGACUGGGAUAACUUCGGGAAACCGGAGCUAAUACCGGAUAAUAUAUUGAACCGCAUGGUUCAAUAGUGAAAGACGGUUUUGCUGUCACUUAUCGAUGGAUCCGCGCCGCAUUAGCUAGUUGGUAAGGUAACGGCUUACCAAGGCAACGAUGCGUAGCCGACCUGAGAGGGUGAUCGGCCACACUGGAACUGAGACACGGUCCAGACUCCUACGGGAGGCAGCAGUAGGGAAUCUUCCGCAAAGGGCGAAAGCAUGACGGAGCAACGCCGCGUGAGUGAUGAAAGUCUUCGGAUCGUAAAACUCUGUUAUUAGUGAAGAACAAAUGUGUAAGUAACUGUGCACGUCUUGACGGUACCUAAUCAGAAAGCCACGGCUAACUACGUG